GUGGGGAAUAUUGGGCAAUGGGCGCAAGCCUGACCCAGCAACGCCGCGUGAGGGAAGAAGGCUUUCGGGUUGUAAACCUCUGUCCUUGGUGACGAAACAAAUGACGGUAGCCAAGGAGGAAGCCCCGGCUAACUACGUGCCAGCAGCCGCGGUAAUACGUAGGGGGCGAGCGUUGUCCGGAAUUACUGGGCGUAAAGGGUGCGUAGGUGGCCUUUUAAGUUGGAUGUGAAAUACCCGGGCUUAACUUGGGGGGUGCAUCCAAAACUGGGAGGCUAGAGUGCAGGAGAGGGAAGCGGAAUUCCUAGUGUAGCGGUGAAAUGCGUAGAUAUUAGGAGGAACACCAGUGGCGAAGGCGGCUUUCUGGACUGUAACUGACGCUGAUGCACGAAAGCGUGGGGAGCAAACAGGAUUAGAUACCCUGGUAGUCC
rnacentral:rRNA from 1 species